rnacentral:rRNA from 1 species
UACGUAGGGGCCAAGCGUUGUCCGGAUUUAUUGGGCGUAAAGAGCUCGUAGGCGGUUCGGUAAGUCGGGUGUGAAAACCCCAGGCUCAACCUGGGGACGCCACUCGAUACUGCUGUGACUUGAGUUCGGUAGGGGAGCACGGAAUUCCUGGUGUAGCGGUGAAAUGCGCAGAUAUCAGGAGGAACACCGGUGGCGAAGGCGGUGCUCUGGGCCGAAACUGACGCUGAGGAGCGAGAGCGUGGGUAGCAAACAGG